GGAACUCGAAGGUCCCACCAAGGAUAGAAGCGCAUCUUGAAGACGCUUUUGCAAGGUGGAUAUCAUUACAUCAACAUUACAUAAUAGAUGGGGAUCCAUACAAGGCAUACAAAUGGCACAAGAUUACACCAACAUCAUACAUAAGAGCAACAUCCGACUACGGAUGAAACACAAACAGAAGCUCAAACGACAUCCACCCUGCUAGCCCAGGCUGCCAACCUGGAACCUAUCCCCUGGUCGAAGAAGAAGCUGAAGAAGAACUCCAAUACAAGCUAACAUUGCUCUCACGUCAUGAUCAUCGCAAAACCUGUACCUGCAACUGUUGUUGUAGUAAUCUGUGAGCCACGAGGACUCAGCAAUCCCAUUACCAUGGGUAUCAAGACUAGCAAAGCUUAAUGGGUAAGGAAGGGGUAAAGUGGUGAGGUUGCAGCAGCGACUAAGCAAAGUAUGGUGGCUAAUAUAUGCAAAUAAGAGCGAGAAGAGGAGCAACGGAACGGUCGUGAAGCUAGCAAUGAUCAAGAAGUGAUCCUGAACUCCUACUUACGUCAAACAUAACCCAUAAACCGUAUUCACUUCCCAGACUCCGCCGAGAAGAGACCAUAACGGCUACACACGCGGUUGAUGCGUUUUAUUUAAGUCGAGUGUCAAGUUCUCUAUAACCGGACAUUAACAAAUUCCCAUCUGCCACAUAACCGCGGGCACGGCUCUCGAAAGUUUAUACCAUGCAGGGGUGUCCCAACUUAGCCCAUUAUAAGCUCUCACGGUCAACGAAGGAUAUUCCUUCUCCCGGGGAGACCCGAUCAGUCUCGGAAUCCCGGUUUACAAGACAUUUCGACAAUGGUAAAACAAGACCAGCAAAGCCGCCCGAUGUGUCGACAAUCCCGAUAGGAGUCGCACGUAUCUCGUUCUCAGGACACACCGGAUAAGCUAAGCGUACAGGUACCGACGUAACCCAAGUUGCCAAGGGAUGGUCCCGCACGGUGCUCUAGUUUGGACCAACACUCCGAGGAGCACUGGCCCGGGGGGGAUAAAAUAAGAUGACCCUCGGGGGCGCGACUCCCAAGGGAAAAGAGGCUAGGUGAGGCAAAUGUAAAACCAAGGUUGGGCCUUGCUGGAGGAGUUUUAUUCAAAGCGAACUGUCAAGGGGUUCCCAUAACACCCAACCGCGUUAGGAACGCAAAAUCAAGGAACAUAACACCGGUAUGACGGAAACUAGGGCGGCAAGAGUGGAACAAAACACCAGGCAUAAGGCCGAGCCUUCCACCCUUUACCAAGUAUAUAGAUGCAUUAAUUAAAUAAGAGAUAUUUUGAUAUCCCAACAUAAACAUAAUCCAACAUGGAGCAAUCUUCAUCUUCACCUGCAACUAGUAACGCUAUAAGAGGGUCUGAGCAAAAGCGGUAACAUAGCCAAACAAUGGUUUGCUCGGAAGGGAGAGCAAGGUUAGAGGUGGUUUCAUGGCAAUUUGGGAGGCUUGAAGAGCAAGUGAUAGGUGGCGCAGCAUAGCGAUAGAACGAAUCAACUAGCAUAACAAUGAUAGUAAUGAGAUCCAAGGUUACUGUCAUCUUGCCUGAAAUCCCGCUAGGAAGAAGAACGAGUCCAUGAAGAAGGUGAAGCCACGAAGACGAACCAAGCGUAGACGAACGAAUCCUCACGAAUGCAACGAAACAGGAACUAUCGAGGAGAAGCACAACCGGAAAGAAGCAAACAACAUGGUAAACACAAAACACAUAAGCAAGACAUGAUGCUCAACCAAGUAUGAUGCAUGAAAAGGCUACAUGAAGCUACUCAUGGCAAGAGAUGAUGCACACAAGAACAACACAUCAAAGCAAGUUUAAAUGAGGCCGGAAACGACAUAUGACAAUUCCGGUAAGUCCUCAUAUGCAAAUUUCGAAAUUGGUCCAGAUCUGAACAAACAUUAAGUUCAAGUUGUUAAACAGCAAGUUAAAGAGCACCAUGAUUAUCUACACGAAAUUGUAGUCAAGUUACAUAUAAAGUUCAUUUAGUUCGGAGCUACGGCCUAGAAGAUAUGAGCUAAACAAGUUAAACAUGGAAUUGAUGCAAAAUGCAUCCAAACAUCAAGCAAACACUCUCAAAACAAGGAUGCAACAAGGUAAUAUGAAACUCAUGAAAAACUAAGCAAGUUUCAUAUAGAGCAUGCACAAAACGGAGCAACAGUGCAACACAUACACUCCAAACAAGAUAUAACAACAAUCUGUCCAAAACAGCAAAUAGGCAUUUUGGCAUGCAUCAAAACAAUAUGCUAUAGCAUCCUAACAUGACAGCAAAAGGCAUGGACAUGAUGUAAAGGUAAAGCACGACAAAACAUGAACACUGAGUUAUCUCUAGAAAUCACUAGAGCAUGCUCAAAAGGACAUGGCAAGAGUACAACUAAUAACAGUUUCACAGACUUAGCCGAAAAUCACUGGACAUGGCAUAAAUAACAUCAGGUUGCAAAGUCUAGAGCUAUCAAAAAACAUGCUACAGGAAGAUAUCAUAGCAAACAGAUGCAUGGCAUGAAUCUACUAAUUGCAUAGAACAAAUGUCCCUUACUGAUCACGAGCCAAAAAGGUACAUAAGAUAUGAUGGCACCCAUGUAAACAUAGCAAGUAAUAUGACAGAUUCAGACAGUGAAAAUAACAGUACAUGGCAGAAACAACGAUAAGUAGGCCUGUUGGUGAGCUUGUAAAACCCACCCCAAACCAAUAAAUGGCAUGACAAGGUGACCCACAGUAAGAAGACACAAUUAUGGAGCUAAAAAUGUCAAGAGCAAGUUCAUAGGGUGCAUGGAUCACUAGCAAAACACAUGGCAAUACUGGACUUCAUGUUAACAGGAUGACAGCAACAUUAUUUAGCAAGUUUGGAGCAAGAUUACAACAAGAUAAGGCAGGCUAUAAAUGAAAAAAGGGCAUUGAUGGAUAGAUCAUAACAUUUAUAACAGAACAUCCUUAGUGAACAUCUCCAGAUUAGGCAUAGAACUCAUGGUGACAGCAGGUUUACAUGGCAUCACAAUGUUACAGCUACGGACUUAGCAGAAAUGACCAAGACACGGAAAUCAGCAACAUCAUGGAGGCUACUUUGCAUGCUUGUGCCAGUCACCACAUAUAUCACAGAAAUACAAGACAAGCACCUCCGUAAAGAUGGCAUGAUGUAGUUCAAAAUUCAUGUAGACAUCAAGCUCAUAGGAUGCACACACAAAAUGCAAUGAAAAUAACAAAUCAACAAGUUCUGUAAACAGACAGCAGUUAACAUCAUAUAGCACUCUUGCAACGAUGAUUAGGGCAUCAAGAUAAACUCAAACAAGCAUGGCACAAUGGAAUGAAAUGAAGAGCAUCUCAUGGUGAACAUUGUGAUAUAUCAUACAUGCAAAACGGAGCGACAUGCAGAAAGUUACAAGCAUCCAAAUAUGCACACAUUAUGUAGCAAUUCUGGGACUUGGCAGUUUUUCUAGAAAAAAACGGAGUGCGCGCGGGAUAACUAAAUCACGCACUGCCGUUGGAUAGGUGGGCACUCACCUAGCGGGCUGAGGCCCAUGCGGAGGGGAAGCAGGCCGGGCAGACGGGUUGGUGGAGGUGGGCCCUGGGAGGCCCACGUGGCCGGCUAGCCCACGCACGGAGGCGCAGCGAGCAGGCAAGCUGUUCUGCUCGAACCUGAGCAGAACCAUGGCGGCGGCGGUGGGACGAGGGGCUCCGGCGAGAGCGCUCGAGGACGACGGGGAGGCCGGGAACGGCCAAAACGGGUUGGUGGCGCGUGGAUCCAACCAGGGGGCGCCGGAUCUGGCCGGAGAUGCGGCAGGCGACCGGCGGGAGGACUCCAGGCGACGGGGAAGGUCGGGCGGAGCCCCUGCACAAAGAGAGAGAGCGAGG
rnacentral:lncRNA from 1 species